CUGAGACCAGGCUCAGGGCGGCUAACAUCAAAUAGCAAAUAUUCACUGCAGCGCUGUAUAAGUUUGGUUCUGUCAGUUCUUCAGCAGCUGUUUCAGGCAUGUGUGAGUGUGUGGAAACUACAGCAUCAAUGAGACAGACCAGAAGUGUUUUCUGUCCAGAAAACUGAUUAAACAGUGGCCAAUCACAAUUUCCAAGUGCAUGGGUUGAAUAUAACAAAGUCAUUGCAUGAGCUUAACAAGGUUCUGUUUGCAUA